AGAAUCAACGCUGGCGGCGUGCCUAACACAUGCAAGUCGCACGAGAAAGGGGAGCAAUCCCUGAGUACAGUGGCGCACGGGUGAGUAACACGUGAAUAAUCUACCUCCGAGUGGGGAAUAACUGAGAGAAAUCUUAGCUAAUACCGCAUAAUACCUACGGGUCAAAGCAGCAAUGCGCUUGAAGAGGAGUUCGCGGCAGAUUAGUUAGUUGGCGGGGUAAUGGCCCACCAAGACGAUGAUCUGUA
rnacentral:rRNA from 1 species